rnacentral:rRNA from 1 species
GCAAGUCGUACGCGAAAGCACUUCGGUGCAAGUAGAGUGGCGAAAGGGCGAGGAAUAAGUACCUAACGUGCCUUCAGGUAAGGGAUAGCUCAUGGAAACGUGUGGUAAUACCUUAUAAUCUCAAUUUUCCGUAUGGUUAGUUGAGCAAAGGCUUGCUGCCUGAAGAUCGGGGUACUUCCUAUCAGCUUGUUGGUAAGGUAAUGGCUUACCAAGGCUAAGACGGGUAGCGGGUGUGAGAGCAUGACC